rnacentral:tRNA from 1 species
GCCCCAGUAGCUCAGGGGAUAGAGCACCGGUUUCCUAAACCGGGUGUCGUAGGUUCGAUUCCUACCUGGGGUA